CUGCCUCCGUACAGCAGAGUUGUACAUAGUGAAGAGGGGGGCAACCACCAAAAUGUCUUCACCUUCUGGUUUUGGUUUACACCAUAACUGUCAAUCCAUCAAGAGAAGACCAACAUUUAGAAGGAAGAACAUGUGGGGAGAGAAGAGAAGUACGUUUUUGACCCGCAGUACUACGUAACGGGCACAAAAAUCUUGAAGAUUACUUGGACUGAAAGACGGACAGUGAAAUCGGCG